rnacentral:rRNA from 1 species
UACGAAGGGGGCUAGCGUUGCUCGGAAUCACUGGGCGUAAAGGGUGCGUAGGCGGGUCUUUAAGUCAGGGGUGAAAUCCUGGAGCUCAACUCCAGAACUGCCUUUGAUACUGAAGAUCUUGAGUUCGGGAGAGGUGAGUGGAACUGCGAGUGUAGAGGUGAAAUUCGUAGAUAUUCGCAAGAACACCAGUGGCGAAGGCGGCGACCUGGUCCGAUACUGACGCUGAGGCGCGAAAGCGUGGGGAGCAAACAGG